UGACCGCCCAAAUCAAUCAUGUGAGUAAUGGCAUUUUUGUAAUUCUUUGCCCACCUACCCCCUUUCUUCUUCCUCUUUCACGUCACUUCUUUCAAUAACUUCAUUCUCUCUCUCCUUCCCUGUACAAUUUCGCACAUUUUACCCUAAAUCCUUCAUCAAUUUCGUUCAAGUUCGUGCUAUUUUGCAUAAUAUAAUCGAGAUUAUCUUCACCAAUUUUUUCAGAUUUCGUGUUUAUAUGUUUAUUUCAAAGAUUCGUGCAGAUUUAUGAAAAAACUAUCGAUUUUCUUCAUCAAAUUCUGGAUUUCUCAGUUUUUAGGUUUAAUUCAAAGGUAAAAUUCUCAAUUUGGGUCUAUUUUUCAAUUGUGUAAUUUCAACCUAAUUGGUCGAUUUAUGUGUUUGAUGUGUUUGAUCUAGUAUUUAAUAUCAUAAUUCGCGUUGCUUGCGAUGCUUCCACUUGCAAUGAUAUGCGUGUUGCAACCUUCUGUUGUAACCAUAUUCAACACCAACUAUUCAUCAAUAAUGCAGUAGUGGAGUGAUAAUAUUGUUCUUACAAUUUCUGCUUUUCUAAUAAUUAUGAAUUUAUGAAUUAUGAGGGGCAUUCACCUGUGUCUAUGAAAUUAUGUUGGUAUUUAAAGACUUUAUAAGACAUCGACCAAGGUUUCUUCUUUCAUUCCCUUCCUCUUAUUAAUUAUUGCUGAUUUUCAGGUUGAUGAUUGAAAGUAGGUCUGCUCUGUUUUGAAACUAGCUCAGCUCUAGCAUAAACUUUAUCAUUGCGUCUGUUCUAAUUAUCUUUGUGUAUGUUCUAAUUAUUGUUGCGUAUAUUCUAAACCUUUAUCUAUGUUUCUUUGUACAUUUAUUGACUUAAUCAUAGUGAGGAAACAAAUAUACAUUACAGGUUAGAUGACACAAUAUUGUGCAGUACUAGUAAUGGAAAAAUACAAAACUCCAUACCAAUAGAGAUUGUUCGUAGUAGUGAUCAUAGAAAAAAAUUAUAACCAUGUACAGCUAACUCAUUUUUCAGAACAAGACAGAUUAUGAUAAGAGCAUUCUUACUACUUUAUUAAUUUGUUUAGCAAUAUUCCCCAUGACAAACUGAUGAGCUGUAACUGUUUUAGGUGAGAACUCCAAAUCAAAAUUUAUGAUCAUAGCAUUAUUGGUAAUACUCAUUUCAUUUGUAUCAUAACAUUGUCCUUCAUUAUCCCUUGUAAUCAUUAUCAAAAUAACCAUAACUUAGUGGAAAGGGAGCUAGCUGGUUUUCUGGUAGUGUUGGUGAGUCUUGCUUUUGCUGGUUCUCUUAAUAGGAAGAUGGGAUGAGGGAUUCAUGUGGGUCUUCUGGUUAAAAUUUUUUAUAUGCUUCUUCUUAUGUAUAAAUAGUGGUUAUUCAGAUGGAUUAUAAUCUUAUGCUACAUAAGAAAAUCUUGUACUUCUGUAUGAUACCAUCUUAUGUAUAAUUAUUGGUUAUUCAAAGGUAUGAUUUUCAAA